ACAAACGUCUACAGAGUCAACUAUUUAGUACUACUAUAUAAUAAUAAUAAUAAUAUGAUCAGUAGAAUGAUUAGAAUUCCAUUCGUAUUACUAAUAUUAGCUAAACUAACAAGUUUGAGAAACUCUUAUCGACACGGUUCACAUGCAAUAGUUAAACAUAAACAUUCGUUCGUCAUGGCAUAAGCAUGACGAGGGAUUCGAGUGAGCUCACAAUAUCUAAUACGUUAUCGAAUAGUUCACCACAAACUUAUGACAACACUGCAAGAAUACUAUAAAGGUGGCCUGAUCUUAUUAAUAGUUUCAAACAAAUUAAAAUGCUACAAUUUAACGUGGUUCUACUUUUAAGUAUAUUGAUUCUACUGCUUCAUCAGAACGCAGCGAUGGCAGCUCCCAGUAUCGGAAUGCGUGGUGUUGGUGACGUGAAUGGAUGCAAUUGGAUCAGCUGUGAUUUUGAUAAACUUCAAGGAAAUACAUCAUAGCUUUUUAUUAGGCGUGGAAGCUUUUUGAGUAACACAUAAUUAAUCAGUUUGCAAUCCAAUAUACUUUUUUCAGACUAAAAACGAACAAUGGAAUGAAUAAAAAUAGACUUGAUUAU